rnacentral:rRNA from 1 species
UGCGUAGGUGGUUCGGCAAGUCUUGUGUGAAAUCUUCAGGCUCAACUUGAAGUCUGCACAAGAAACUGCCGGGCUUGAGUAUGGGAGAGGUGAGUGGAAUUUCCGGUGUAGCGGUGAAAUGCGUAGAUAUCGGAAGGAACACCUGUGGCGAAAGCGGCUCACUGGACCAUUACUGACACUGAGGCACGAAAGCUAGGGGAGCAAACAGGAUUAGAUACCCUGGUAGUCCUAGCCCUAAACGAUGAUCGCUUGGUGUGGCGGGUAUCCAACCCUGCCGUGCCGAAGCUAACGCGUUAAGCGAUCCGCCUGGGGAGUACGGUCGCAAGGCUGAA